CACGUAGGGCGCAAGCGUUGUCCGGAAUUAUUGGGCGUAAAGAGCUCGUAGGCGGCUUGUCGCGUCGUCCGUGAAAACUUGGGGCUCAACCCCAAGCUUGCGGUCGAUACGGGCAGGCUAGAGUUCGGUAGGGGGAGACUGGAAUUCCUGGUGUAGCGGUGAAAUGCGCAGAUAUCAGGAGGAACACCGGUGGCGAAGGCGGGUCUCUGGGCCGAUACUGACGCUGAGGAGCGAAAGCGUGGGGAGCGAACAGG
rnacentral:rRNA from 1 species